AUUUGACCUCAAAUCAGGUAGGAGUACCCGCUGAACUUAAGCAUAUCAAUAAGCGGAGGAAAAGAAAAUAACAAUGAUUCCCCUAGUAACUGCGAGUGAAGAGGGACAAGCUCAAAUUUUAAAUCUGUUAGGUUUACCUAACCGAGUUGUAAUUUGAAGAGGCGUUUUCUGUGUUUCUGAUCAGCCCAAGUCCUUUGGGAUAGGGCAUCAUGGAGGGUGAGAAUCCCGUUCGGUUGGUCAGAUUCGCUUUACGAUACGUCAUCUAAGAGUCAAGUUGUUUGGGAUUGCAGCUUAAAAUGGGAGGUAAAUUUUCUCCUAAGGCUAAAUAACGGCGAGAGACCGAUAGCGAACAAGUACCGUGAGGGAAAGAUGAAAAGAACUUUGAAAAGAGAGUUAAACAGUACGUGAAAUUGUUGAAAGGGAAACGAUUGAAGCCAGUCGUACCUUCGGGUAAUCAGCCUUUCGGGUGCGAUUCUGUGGAGCGUGAGGAGUUAAACGCCUUCAUGCCUGCAUAUUCGUGCACUUUGGGUGUACUUGCCCGUGUGGUAGGUUAACAUCAAUUUCGGAUAUCAUAAAAUGGCUGGAGGAAUGUAGCUUCGGUCUCGUACUGAAGUGUUAUAGCCUCUGGUAGAUGUGAUGACCGGGAUUGAGGAUUGCAACGAAUACCUUUUGGGCUACCCGCCUGAUCUCUGAAAGUUGCUCUGGUGCCGAAAGCUUGCUUACGGUUAUCAAAGUUGACGUUCAAAAGGUUAGAACGGGUUAAAUUCGUUAAGGAUGUUGACGUAAUGGCUUUAAACGACCCGUCUUGAAACACGGACCAAGGAGUCUAACAUAUAUGCGAGUGUUU
rnacentral:rRNA from 1 species